UAUACUCGUAGUAAAAUUUAUUAUAUUCGCCUUCCAUGUGAAAGUUCUAGAAAUAGUGAGUAU
rnacentral:tRNA from 1 species